rnacentral:rRNA from 1 species
UACGGAGGGUGCGAGCGUUGUCCGGAAUCACUGGGCGUAAAGGGCGCGUAGGCGGCCUGGCAAGUCGGUGGUGAAAGCCCGUGGCUCAACUACGGGUCGGCCACCGAUACUGCUAUGGCUCGAGUUUGGUAGAGGCAGAUGGAAUUCCGGGUGUAGCGGUGGAAUGCGUAGAGAUCCGGAAGAACACCCGUGGCGAAGGCGGCUCUCUGGAACGCAACUGACGCUGAGACGCGAAAGCGUGGGGAGCAAACAGG